rnacentral:rRNA from 1 species
AGCGAACGCUGGCGGCAGGCCUAACACAUGCAAGUCGAGCGCACCCUUCGGGGCGAGCGGCGGACGGGUUAGUAACGCGUGGGAACAUACCCUUUACUACGGAAUAGCCUCGGGAAACUGAGAGUAAUACCGUAUGUGCCCUUCGGGGGAAAGAUUUAUCGGUAAAGGAUUGGCCCGCGUAAGAUUAGAUAGUUGGUGGGGUAAUGGCCUACCAAGUCUACGAUCUUUAGCUGGUUUUAGAGGAUGAUCAGCAACACUGGGACUGAGACACGGCCCAGACUCCUACGGGAGGCAGCAGUGGGGAAUCUUAGACAAUGGGCGCAAGCCUGAUCUAGCCAUGCCGCGUGUGUGAUGAAGGCCUUAGGGUCGUAAAGCACUUUCGCUAGGGAUGAUAAUGACAGUACCUAGUAAAGAAACCCCGGCUAACUCCGUGCCAGCAGCCGCGGUAAUACGGAGGGGGUUAGCGUUGUUCGGAAUUACUGGGCGUAAAGCGUACGUAGGCGGAUCAGAAAGUAAGGGGUGAAAUCCCAGGGCUCAACCCUGGAACUGCCUCUUAAACUCCUGGUCUUGAGUUCGAGAGAGGUGAGUGGAAUUCCGAGUGUAGAGGUGAAAUUCGUA